AAGGUGGCCUGUGAGGGUUGCUGGAGGUAUCAGAAGUGCGAAUGCUGACAUAAGUAACGAUAAAGCGGGUGAAAAGCCCGCUCGCCGGAAGACCAAGGGUUCCUGUCCAACGUUAAUCGGGGCAGGGUGAGUCGACCCCUAAGGCGAGGCCGAAAGGCGUAGUCGAUGGGAAACGGGUUAAUAUUCCCGUACUUGGUGUUACUGCGAAGGGGGGACGGAGAAGGCUAUGUUGGCCGGGCGACGGUUGUCCCGGUUUAAGCGUGUAGGUGUGUGUUCCAGGUAAAUCCGGUUCACUUUAACACUGAGGCGUGAUGACGAGGCACUACGGUGCUGAAGCAACAAAUGCCCUGCUUCCAGGAAAAGCCUCUAAGCAUCAGGUAACAUCAAAUCGUACCCCAAACCGACACAGGUGGUCAGGUAGAGAAUACCAAGGCGCUUGAGAGAACUCGGGUGAAGGAACUAGGCAAAAUGGUGCCGUAACUUCGGGAGAAGGCACGCUGACACGUAGGUGAAGUGAUUUACUCAUGGAGCUGAAGUCAGUCGAAGAUACCAGCUGGCUGCAACUGUUUAUUAAAAACACAGCACUGUGCAAACACGAAAGUGGACGUAUACGGUGUGACGCCUGCCCGGUGCCGGAAGGUUAAUUGAUGGGGUCAGCGCAAGCGAAGCUCCUGAUCGAAGCCCCGGUAAACGGCGGCCGUAACUAUAACGGUCCUAAGGUAGCGAAAUUCCUUGUCGGGUAAGUUCCGACCUGCACGAAUGGCGUAAUGAUGGCCAGGCUGUCUCCACCCGAGACUCAGUGAAAUUGAACUCGCUGUGAAGAUGCAGUGUACCCGCGGCAAGACGGAAAGACCCCGUGAACCUUUACUAUAGCUUGACACUGAACAUUGAGCCUUGAUGUGUAGGAUAGGUGGGAGGCUUUGAAGUGUGGACGCCAGUCUGCAUGGAGCCGACCUUGAAAUACCACCCUUUAAUGUUUGAUGUUCUAACGUGGACCCGUGAUCCGGGUUGCGGACAGUGUCUGGUGGGUAGUUUGACUGGGGCGGUCUCCUCCUAAAGAGUAACGGAGGAGCACGAAGGUUGGCUAAUCCUGGUCGGACAUCAGGAGGUUAGUGCAAUGGCAUAAGCCAGCUUGACUGCGAGCGUGACGGCGCGAGCAGGUGCGAAAGCAGGUCAUAGUGAUCCGGUGGUUCUGAAUGGAAGGGCCAUCGCUCAACGGAUAAAAGGUACUCCGGGGAUAACAGGCUGAUACCGCCCAAGAGUUCAUAUCGACGGCGGUGUUUGGCACCUCGAUGUCGGCUCAUCACAUCCUGGGGCUGAAGUAGGUCCCAAGGGUAUGGCUGUUCGCCAUUUAAAGUGGUACGCGAGCUGGGUUUAGAACGUCGUGAGACAGUUCGGUCCCUAUCUGCCGUGGGCGCUGGAGAACUGAGGGGGGCUGCUCCUAGUACGAGAGGACCGGAGUGGACGCAUCACUGGUGUUCGGGUUGUCAUGCCAAUGGCACUGCCCGGUAGCUAAAUGCGGAAGAGAUAAGUGCUGAAAGCAUCUAAGCACGAAACUUGCCCCGA
rnacentral:rRNA from 1 species